UCCUACGCAUAAAGUCGGAACACGUUUUUUGAGUAAAAUUGUUUUUUUGUGCCAUUAGAACACUAUUAAACAGCAAUACACAAUCCUGAAACCCAAAUUUUAAUAUUUUCUAUAAAUAAUGAGUUUUUGAAUUGAUAAUAGUCGUAACAUUUGAACGCUCCCGCGCAAAUCGUCGCGCUUAUAGUUCCGACGAUGCGCUCCGAUCUAUUGGACCUCAGCCGGCCAAACAGAGCGCAGUACCGACGUCGUAUGACACGAACUAGCAUGCACAAAGUCUCUCCAAUUUAAAUGUUGAAAAUAAUAUUGAUGUUGUGUUGUUUUUGAUUACUUUUGUUUGUUAGGACGUGUGCAAUUAUAAAUUAGUGAAAUGAGCAACCUACGUUCGUCUAAGAUUUUGAAAUUAGUGUUAGAUAAACCCAAUCCAAACAGCGAAGUAAUGACGGCCGACGAAAAUUUUGGAAAUGAAUAACCGGUGCCACUUGAAGCUGAAGACCAGUGGAAUCUGUACAAGACGAUGUUUGGGCACUCUUUUAAUAAAAGAGCAGUGAUAUUGAAAACAGUUUUGUAACAAGUAUUCACGAGGUAACGUCUAAUACGGAAGCAAAGUCACUGUCGUCUGCUAUGCCAAAUGAAAAAACUAUAAGAUGUAUGGAUUCAGAGCUAUGUGCUGAAGAGUUUUCUGCUGAUAUAAUAGAACCUUCUUUAACACCAAUGCCCUCCCCGAAUAACGAUUUUUUCGAGUACAGCGUGGCCACUUCAACUCCGUUAUUUAGAAACUCAUCUAUUCGUGAUGAUAAUAAUUAUGGUUCAACUAGUAGUGUUAGUAGAGGCAAUACACCACAGCUUAGUAACGCUUCGAGUCAGGAUUCUUCUGUAUGUUCGUCAAAUGAAAGUACACCGUCAGGCAGAGUUGGAAGAAAGCGUCACCGUCGCCGUGAUGAGGGGAAAG